rnacentral:lncRNA from 1 species
ACAUGCUUGGACUUUUCUUGGACUGAGCUACUUUUAACUCAUUUUAACAAUUACCCACAGGAGCAAGUAGCUGUUGCAUCAAUGCUCUGCUAGUGGCACCACUGAUAGGAAAAGUGUGGCAGCCCUGGAUAGACCAUGCCAAAUAGCAGUAUGUUUUUCAUAGGUGUGAAGGAAGGAAGUUUCUUAACAUUUAGAAGUAGUGUUUUAAAAGAAGGUGAAGUGGUAUGGCAUGCAAAACAGAUAUUUGGAAGCAUGAGAGGCAGAGGAUAUGAUUGCAAGAAGAAAAGCAGCAAUCAUCUCCAUAGCAGAGCAGCAACAAAUCUCAGGCAGGAUGGGUACCCACAGGUGCACUCUGAGUGACUGAUGGCAGAAAGCAACACUCUGCAAGUUCCAUGUGAGUAAUUUGAAAGAAUAAUUGAUUUGACUAAUGAAGGCGUCUUUCCUAUUUGUGAAUAGUCCAUGUGAAAAUUCUUUUUGCAUUAUUUUAAUUGCUAUUUUAAAAUCUGCCUACACUUUUUAAUGAAGGAAUUUCAGUUGUUCAGCUUGUUAACUGCUCACUAUUAGCAUUUCCUGGAAGCAACCAGUGUUUCUGAGUGCCCCUGGUUUAUUCAGUCUUAUGCUCUUCCUGGUUACCUCAGUAGGGGAUUUCCAAAUUUGAGGCAAUAGAUCUUAUUAAUGGCAGUGACUGCAAUAAGACAUAGUUCUGGCAUCUAAAGUAUCUUGAUG